AGCCCCGUACACAAAAGCGCAUGUGCUGUGAGCUCGAUGAGUAGGGCGGGACACGUGGUAUCCUGUCUGAAUAUGGGGGGACCAUCCUCCAAGGCUAAAUACUCCUGACUGACCGAUAGUGAACCAGUACCGUGAGGGAAAGGCGAAAAGAACCCCGGCGAGGGGAGUGAAAAAGAACCUGAAACCGUGUACGUACAAGCAGUGGGAGCACAGGUUUACCUGUGUGACUGCGUACCUUUUGUAUAAUGGGUCAGCGACUUAUAUUCUGUAGCAAGGUUAACCGAAUAGGGGAGCCGGAGGGAAACCGAGUCUUAAUUGGGCGUUAAGUUGCAGGGUAUAGACCCGAAACCCGGUGAUCUAGCCAUGGGCAGGUUGAAGGUUGGGUAACACUAACUGGAGGACCGAACCGACUAAUGUUGAAAAAUUAGCGGAUGACCUGUGGCUGGGGGUGAAAGGCCAAUCAAACCGGGAGAUAGCUGGUUCUCCCCGAAAGCUAUUUAGGUAGCGCCUCGUGAAUUCAUCUCCGGGGGUAGAGCACUGUUUCGGCUAGGGGGCCAUCCCGGCUUACCAACCCGAUGCAAACUGCGAAUACCGGAGAAUGUUAUCACGGGAGACACACGGCGGGUGCUAACGUCCGUCGUGAAGAGGGAAACAACCCAGACCGCCAGCUAAGGUCCCAAAGUCAUGGUUAAGUGGGAAACGAUGUGGGAAGGCCCAGACAGCCAGGAUGUUGGCUUAGAAGCAGCCAUCAUUUAAAGAAAGCGUAAUAGCUCACUGGUCGAGUCGGCCUGCGCGGAAGAUGUAACGGGGCUAAACCAUGCACCGAAGCUGCGGCAGCGAACGUAUCACUUAAAGCGAUUCAGCGGGUUACGAUUGACGGAGCGAAGCGACGUCAAAGCGUAUACAAAGUCGAGUCGGUUUAAGGAUACGUUCGUUGGGUAGGGGAGCGUUCUGUAAGCCUGUGAAGGUGGCCUGUGAGGGUUGCUGGAGGUAUCAGAAGUGCGAAUGCUGACAUAAGUAACGAUAAAGCGGGUGA
rnacentral:rRNA from 1 species